AUGGCGCGUGUAUACUGUAAGGUGUAGGACGUUACGUAGUCUACCUUUCGCGGGUAUGUCUGGAGGCGUCUCACUCGGUGGAUCUUUGGAGGUCUGUUUCCGCGGUAACCCUGGAGACGAGCCGAUCACGCUGUUCACGAACAGGCCCGAGGUUAGUGACCAUGAGGAUGAGGCCUACCUUUCAACCUGCGCUUCCUCUGCACGUGCUGGCAGGAAGUGAUGACCAGGAACAGGACCAUGCACACCAGCCCGAUGGAGCAGAGCAGCACAGCACACAGAGCGUACUGCAGGGGAGCAGAGGACUGGCUGGAUCAGAGUGAGGUCCUCGUUUUUCUUCCUGAGUUGGUCAGACAUGCGCAGCAAAAACUACAGUGUGCGUCUGGAAACCACCAACCCGCCAGGUGGCUACUGAUGAGCGGGGAUCAGGAUCCCUCAGAAGACACUGGCUUCCCUGUAUAGCUCAGAGGCUCUUCUGCCUUCUCUGUGGUCACAAGCUCCAUCUCUUCCUGAGCACAAUGUGCUGAGCCAGUCCUUCCUCCAGCCCGCGGCAUCACCACAGGCCUAAAACAGCCGUACGCUGAAAGGGAAAUUAAGUGCAGAAUCACUGCG